rnacentral:rRNA from 1 species
GACGAACGCUGGCGGUGUGCUUAACACAUGCAAGUCGAACGGAAAGGCCCUGCUUUCGUGCGGUGCUCGGGUGGCGAACGGGUGAGUAAGACGUGAGUAACCUGCUCUUGUCUUUGGGAUGAGUUCAGGAAAGUGGGGCUAAUAUCGGAUAGGAGAUGAUGUUGGAUGGUGGGGGUGGGAACGUUGCGGCGGGUGGGGAUGGACUAGCGGGUUAUGAGCUUGCUGGUGGGGUAGUGGCUUACCAAGGCAUUGACGGGUCGCCGGCAUGAGAGGGUGACCGGCCACAUGGCUCCUGAGAGACGGAGCAGACUCCAACGUGAGACAGCAGUGGGAAAUAUUGCCCAAUGAGCGGGAGUCGGUGACAACGACGCCGCGUGCGUAAUGACCGCUUGCGGGGAAAGAACCGCAUUCGGUUAAUACCAAGCGGGAGUGACGGUACCCAAAGAAGAAGCACCGGCUAACUACGUG